AUUCUUUGUUGGCUAUAUUCAUAGCAAUCCUGCUGACCUUAUAAUAUGGACCAUGCAUUAACUGUUUAUUUGUCUUCAUCUUCUCCAGAUUUAAAAGCUGUGCAGCUACGAAGAUGACAAUGUCAGGCACCUACUGAAGGUCUUUAGAUAGACACUCUGUAGAGUAACACUAACUGCUGAUCACAACUAUGACCCUCUUCAGCUGGAAGUAGACAGAGCUAUCUUUGCCCUUUUCUGCCUCACAGCAGUACUUCUUCAGAGGGGGAAUAUUGCAGAUAGGCUCUGUCCAGGUUUCAUGUUUUCUGACUUCAUCACAGAGGAACUGACCGGCUCCCCAGAGUGAGUGAAUUCAAGAAGAAACUGAGAAGUUUCAUCAGUGGGAAUGAUUUUAACACUGUUGACAGUCCUGUGUUGUUGCACCAGCAAAAAAUAACUGUGAAACAAAAUGAGAAAGAAAAACUAAAGAUGAGAAACCAAAAUUGUUUCAAAAGCAGAUGAUGGAAGAAAGGAAGAAGAAGACUAAAAUUUAUAGAUGGCCCGAGUAUUCCUGUAGAGAACAUCAAGGAAUCUAUACAAUAAUGACUCUAGAAUAUGAAUUUUAGCAUUGUUGCAGAAUACAAAGUCA